rnacentral:rRNA from 1 species
AUUGAACGCUGGCGGCAUGCCUUACACAUGCAAGUCGAACGGUAACAGGUUAAGCUGACGAGUGGCGAACGGGUGAGUAAUGUAUCGGAACGUGCCCAGUCGUGGGGGAUAACUGCUCGAAAGAGCAGCUAAUACCGCAUACGACCUGAGGGUGAAACCGGGGGAUCGCAAUACCUCGCGCGAUUGGAGCGGCCGAGAUCAGAUUAGGUAGUUGGUGAGGUAAAGGUUCACUAAGCCGACGAUCUGUAGCUGGUCUGAGAGGGCGACCAGCCACACUGGGACUGAGACCCGGCCCAGACUCCUACGGGAGGCAGCAGUGGGGAAUUUUGGACAAUGGGCGCAAGCCUGAUCCAGCCAUGCCGCGUGCGGGAAGAAGGCCUUCGGGUUGUAAACCGCUUUUGUCAGGGAAGAAAAGGUUCUGGCUAAUACCUGGGACUCAUGACGGUACCUGAAGAAUAAGCACCGGCUAACUACGUG